rnacentral:rRNA from 1 species
CUUGGCGACCAUAGCACUUUGGACCCACCUGAUUUCCAUUCCGAACUCAGAAGUGAAACGAAGUAGCGUCGAUGGUAGUGUGGGGCUUCCCC